ACUCAGACGUCACUGUCCAUAAGGCAUUUAGGACCAACUGCACAGUUAGAACAGUACCCCAAGACAGCACCUCACUUCCUUCAACAACUGCAAGUUCAGGGUCACCCCAAACCACCUCAACAGUUUGCCAGAAGGACUCACAGAACUCAGAGGAAGCAGAAUGUAAGGUGGCAAUUUGGUCUGCUUCAUUCACUGCUGCAUCACCUGCUUCCAGAACUGCGCCCUCCAAUAUAGGAACCACUAGCUACACAUGGCAAGUCUGCAGGUCAGAAGUCUGGAAAGAGUCUCUGAGGGCUGAAGUCCAGAUGCUGUGAGGGCCUCUUCCUUCUGGAGGCACUGCGUGUGAGUCUGCUCCCUGGCCUCUUCCAACUCCGAGAGGCUGCCUGGGUUCUCUGGUUUGUGGCCCCUUCCUCCAUCUUCAAAGCAUAUCACUCCAACUUCUCCCAACCUCACAUCUCCCUUGUCUGACUUUGAUCCUCCUGGUGUUAUACUGGAGCCACUUCAAUAAUCUAGGAUAAUCUCCCCGCCUCAGAAUCCUGACUUCAAUCACAUCUGCAAAGUCCCUUUUGCCAUGUAAGAGAACACGUUCACAAGUUCCAGGAUUACAACGUGGACAUCUUCAGAGGGUCACUGUGAAGUCUACCACAGGGGAGGACGUGGUGGGUGCCAGGAAAAGAAAAGUGGAGAAUGACCUCAAUGUUUGGGGGCUGGAAUAUCUGGAAGAAUGGCUGGUCAGGAACCGAGAUCAGCAAGACACAGGCUCAAAGAUUUAGUUGGUUCUUUGGAAGCUGAGUCCUGAUGAUUUCUCCCCACAGAGGCUUCCCUGUGUUAAAAGAUACUUUUCAGAAGAAGGCAAAACCAUGACUCUCUUUACAGAAAUAAAAAUGAACGUGUGAUGAGGAAUUCAUUUUACUCAUAUGAUCUGAGAAAACCAGGCAGAUGUUAUAACCGAAUCUAAGGAAAGCUCAACACAGCACAAAUUUAUAUAGUAAAGGAAUGUUGAGAUGAAUUGCAAAUGGGGACAAAACUAAACAGGGCUAGAACCUGAAGACCCAGAGAGGUGUAUUGCAGAUGGUGCAGUUAUCUACUGAAAUACAGAAUUUUUUCUACACAUGAUUCUUCAAUCUGAGCACUCAACAUGUAAGUCCCAGGGAGGAUGGGUUGAGUUUCUGGCAGGAGCAGAAUGAGAAGGUGGGUUUGAUGCUAUCAAGAGUCAACAAAAGACAGCAGGAAGAAAACCAGAAAUGACACAUUUCAACACAAACAUUUUGCAGUGGAUUCAUUAUAAUACUUUUUGACUGGUUAGCUUUUCUUGGUAGAGAAGUUGUUAUACUCUAAUAUUCCUGUCUCCCCAAAUUUGUAUGUUGAAGACCUAACCCCAACCUGAUGGUAUCCGGAGGUGAUUAGGUUUAGAUGAGGUCAUGAGGAUAGGACCUUCGUAAUCCUAUUGAUAGGAUUAGUGUUCC